AUUGAACGCUGGCGGCAUGCUUUACACAUGCCAGUCGAACGGCAGCGCGGGCUUCGGCCUGGCGGCGAGUGGCGAACGGGUGAGUAAUACAUCGGAACGUGCCCAGUAGUGGGGGAUAGCUCGGCGAAAGCCGGAUUAAUACCGCAUACGACCUGAGGGUGAAAGCGGGGGAUCUUCGGACCUCGCGCUAUUGGAGCGGCCGAUGGCAGAUUAGCUAGUUGGUGGGGUAAAGGCCUACCAAGGCGACGAUCUGUAGCUGGUCUGAGAGGACGACCGGCCACACUGGGACUGAGACACGGCCCAGACUCCUACGGGAGGCAGCAGUGGGGAAUUUUGGACAAUGGGCGAAAGCCUGAUCCAGCAAUGCCGCGUGUGUGAUGAAGGCCUUCGGGUUGUAAAGCACUUUUGGCGGGAACGAAAAGGACUGUGCCAAUACCACGGUUCGAUGACGGUACCCGCAGAAUAAGCACCGGCUAACUACGUG
rnacentral:rRNA from 1 species